UGGGGGAAACCCUGAGGCAGCAACGCCGCGUGGGUGAAGAAGGCCCUCGGGUUGUAAAGCACUGGCAGGUGAGAAGAAACCUCGAUAGGUGAAUAUCCUAGCGAACUGACGGUACCACCAAAGGAAGCACCGGCUAACUCCGUGCCAGCAGCCGCGGUAAGACGGAGGGUGCAAGCGUUGUUCGGAAUUACUGGGCGUAAAGAGCGGGUAGGCGGUCUGAUAAGUCGAGUGUGAAAGCCCGAGGCUCAACGUCGGAAGUGCACUCUAAACUGUCAGGCUUGAGGACGGGAGAGGGAA
rnacentral:rRNA from 1 species